rnacentral:tRNA from 1 species
GAGGGUGUAGCUCAAGUGGCAGAGCGCAUGCUUAGCGUGCAUGAGGUCCUGGGUUUGAUCCCUAGUAUCUCCU